rfam:Hymenobacter sedentarius strain DG5B chromosome, complete genome.
AGCCAGUGGAGCCCAGACCCCACUCAAAAAAACGGGGCGUCGCCGAAAAGCCUCACGAGUAGGAACGUU